rnacentral:rRNA from 1 species
GACGAACGCUGGCGGCGUGCUUAACACGUGCAAGUCGAACGGAAAGGCCCUGCUUUUGUGGGGUGCUCGAGUGGCGAACGGGUGAGUAACACGUGAGUAACCUGCCCUCGACUUUGGGAUAACUUCAGGAAACUGGGGCUAAUACCGGAUAGGAGCUCCUGCUGCAUGGUGGGGGUUGGAAAGUUUCGGCGGUUGGGGAUGGACUCGCGGCUUAUCAGCUUGUUGGUGGGGUAGUGGCUUACCAAGGCUUUGACGGGUAGCCGGCCUGAGAGGGUGACCGGCCACAUUGGGACUGAGAUACGGCCCAGACUCCUACGGGAGGCAGCAGUGGGGAAUAUUGCACAAUGGGCGGAAGCCUGAUGCAGCAACGCCGCGUGCGGGAUGACGGCCUUCGGGUUGUAAACCGCUUUCGCCUGUGACGAAGCGUGAGUGACGGUAAUGGGUAAAGAAGCACCGGCUAACUACGUG